rnacentral:rRNA from 1 species
CCCUUAGAUGUCCUGGGCCGCACGCGCGCUACACUGAGUGUCUGAGAUACGAGUCUGCCUGGUCCGGCAAGGUCUAGGUAAUCGCUAAAAGACCCAUCAUGCUUGGGAUAGAUUAUUGCAAAUAUUAAUCUUGAACGAGGAAUUCCUAGUAAGCGCAAGUCAACAGCUUGCGUUGAUUACGUCCCUGCCCUUUGUACACACCGCCCGUCGCUACUACUGAUUGGAUGUUUAAGCGAGGUUCUCGAACUGCUAGCGACUUAGCUUCGGUGAGGUCGCAGUGUGGGAAGUGAACCUAGCUUUGGUGUCUAGAGGAAGUAAAAGUCGUAACA